CAUACGUUGUCCCUCUCUCUCUCUGCCCACACCUGCGAUUCUGCGAAAACAACGCGAGCGCACCGGCCACCUUUGCUCGCAAUCGGAGCGGCGAGCGAAGAGAAGAAUGUACAAAUCGAAGCUGCAAGAGCUGUGCCACCAGCGAUCAUGGGGCUUGCCGGAGUACGCGGCCGUGAAGGAAGGCCCCGACCACAUGCCUCGCUUCACCGGCACCGUCUCCGUGAACGGCGUCUCCUUCCGGACCCCGGACCCCUGCAAAUCCUCCAAGGAGGCCCAGAACGAGGCCGCCAGGCUCGCCUUCGACCACUGGUCCGCGCCGCGGCCUCCUCCCAGGGAACCGCCCCGAGUCGCGCCUCCUCCUCCUCCCCCUCCGUCCGGCGACGGCGGCGAUGACGCUGCCGGCACGGGUGCUUCAAGUGAAAGUACAAUGUUAGACCAUUUGCUUGCCGAUUUACAGAAAGUGCAGCCAAAAAAACCAGAGAUAAAUGAAAUUUCAGAAGUCGCUGAGAGCCAUUUACUUGCCAAUUUGGAGAAACAGCAGCCAGAACUACCAGAGAGCAAUGAAAUGUCUAAACCCGCUGAGAGCAGCUCAAUCGCCAACAAUAAUACAACUGUAAAAGAUAUGCAGCAUUUGUAUAAAAACCAACUGCAAACAUUUGCUCAAAAGAGGAAUCUUGCUCUGCCUACAUAUUGUUCUGAGCAUGAGGGUCCGCCACAUGCCCGUCGCUUUCGGUGCAAAGUUUCAAUAGAUGGAAGAACCUAUGAAACUGUGGAGUUCUUUAAUACAUUGAAAGAAGCCGAACAUGCAGCUGCCAGGAUUGCUCUGAUGUCAUUGUCGUCUGAUACAUUUCAGGAGGUUGAUUGUGGUUUAUACAAGAGUCUUUUGCAAGAAUUUACUCAGAAACAAGGUCAUAGCCUGCCAGUUUAUGAUACAGUCAGAUGUGGCGAAAGUCAUAUUCCAAUUUUUAUUUCAACUGUGGAGAUAGAAGGAGAGAGUUUUAAAGGGCAAGAAGCAAGAACCAAAAAGAUGGCAGAGACUAGUGCUGCAAAAGUUGCUUACAUCAUUCUCAAAGAGCGUACAUCCGGGAAAAUAAGUGCAAGCUCUACUUCCCAAUCCCCUGUUCUUCAAAGAGAAAAGGCGGCUUUGUCAUCACAUUGCUCGCUGGCAGAUGACAGUACUGGGUACCAGCAGAAGGUCACGAUCAGGCCUACUCCCAACGUGAUCUCAAAUCAUAGUGGCUCUGAUGGAAAACAGAUUGAUGAUAAUGAGAAUGUUGAAGCUAGCCACCACAAUCUCCCAGGUCCAUCUAGUGGAUUAGAUACAUUCAUAUGGGGAUCUACUGAUCAAUUCAUACCAAACAUGUCAAAUGCUCAUCUGAGGGAUCCGUCCCUAGCUGUUCCCUCUUCGUCUGAAGAUGCUUCAUCCUCAUCCUCUUCCCUCCCCCAUUUCACCGAUGCGGUUAACGACUCCACUGCUCAGCUGCUAGCUGAAUUGAAUGGCUUAUCAAAAAAUGUGGUUAGGGUGUAUCCAUGCAAAUCAAACAUGGCAAUUCCUUUGCAGAGAAUAGUUCGGAGAGAUGAAAACUGGGUUGCUGUAAGUGCAGAUCCAAGUUAUAUGGGCCACGCAACCUGAACUUAAAGAAAUAUCUUACAGGUCAUAGUUGUUCAAGGCUCAUAAUUUUCUGCAUAUUUUUAAGGAGAUCUACUUUUAAUCAUUCUCUAUAAGUAGAUGGAUGGAAAAGGUUACUAUGUGUGAAAGUGGAAGUUUUCUCUACAGCAGAUGCUUUUGUACUCGUAGGUUAAGUUCUCAUUUGGAGGUUCCUUUUGUGCUUGAAGCUCUUGAGAGGCUCUUUUCAGUAACAGGACUGCUUGAUGUUGUUGAUGAUAAAGGAGACAGGAGCACAAGAAGGAUGGAUUAGUUGUAGACAAUGGAAGCGAAGACGCAAAAA